rnacentral:rRNA from 1 species
CAAUAGCGUAUAUUAAAGUUGUUGCAGUUAAAAAGCUCGUAGUUGGAUUUCUGGUGGGAGCGAUCGGUCUGGCGCUUAGCGCGAGUACUUGCAUCGUCUCCGGCCAUCCUUGGGGAGAGUCUGUCUGGCAUUAGGUUGUCGGGCAGAGGAUCCUCAUCGUUUACUGUGAAAAAAUUAGAGUGUUCAAAGCAGGCUUAUGCCGUUGAAUAUAUUAGCAUGGAAUAACAAGAUAGGACUUUGGUACUAUUUUGUUGGUUUGCGCACCAAAGUAAUGAUUAAUAGGGACAGUUGGGGGUAUUCGUAUUCCGUUGUCAGAGGUGAAAUUCUUGGAUUUACGGAAGACGAACUACUGCGAAAGCAUUUACCAAGGAUGUUUUCAUUAA